rnacentral:rRNA from 1 species
GACGAACGCUGGCGGCGUGCUUAACACAUGCAAGUCGAACGAAGUGGCGAACGGGUGAGUAAUACGUGGGUAACCUGCCCUCCUUUUUGGGAUAAGCUUUGGAAACGGGGUCUAAUACCGAAUAAAGGGGGAUGGGCUCGUGGCCUAUCAGGUUGUUGGUGGGGUGAUGGCCUACCGAGGCGUUGACGGGUAGCUGGCCUGGGAGGGGGACCGGCCACAUUGGGACGUAGAUACGGCCUAGACUCCGACGGGAGGCAGCAGUGGGGGAUAUGGGAGAAUGGGCGAAAGCCUGAUGCAGCGACGCCGCGUGGGGGGUGAAGGCUUUGGGGUUGUAAACCUCUUUCGGUAUCGAACGGGUAGGUGUAGAAGAAGCGCCGGCUAACUACGUGCCAGCAGCCGCGGUAAUAC